rnacentral:rRNA from 1 species
AGCUAACGCGAUAAGUGUACCGCCUGGGGAAGUACGGUCGCAAGACUAAAACUCAAAGGAAUUGACGGGGGCCCGCACAAGCGGUGGAGCAUGUGGCUUAAUUCGAGGCAACGCGAAGAACCUUACCCGGGUUUGACAUUGAGCGACGUUCGGUGAAAGUCGAAUUCCCUUCGGGGCGCAAAAACAGGUGCUGCAUGGCUGUCGUCAGCUCGUGCUGUGAAGUGUUCGGUUAAGUCCGGCAACGAGCGCAACCCAUAUCCUUACUUGCUAACAGGUAAUGCUGAGAACCUUAAGGAGACUGCCCGUGUUAAGCGGGAGGAAGGUGUGGACGACGUCAAGUCAGUAUGGCCCUUACACCCGGGGCUGCACACGUGCUACAAUGGCCGGUACAAAGGGCAGCGACAUAGUGAUAUGGAGCGAAUCCCCAAAACCGGUCUCAGUACGGAUUGGAGUCUGCAACUCGACUCCAUGAAGAUGGAAUCGCUAGUAAAUGGGCAUCAGCUACGGCUCAUUGAAUACGUUCCCGGGCCUUGUACACACCGCCCGUCACAUCAUGGGAGCUGAGUUCACCCGAAGUCGUUGCGCCAACCUGCUUGCAGGAGGCAGACGCCGAAGGUGGGCUUAGUGACUGGGAUGAAGUCGUAACAAGGUAGCCGUUGGGGAACCAGCGGCUGGAUCACCUCCUUUUUAAGGAA